rnacentral:rRNA from 1 species
CCUACGGGAGGCUGCAGUCGAGAAUCAUUCACAAUGGGGGCAACCCUGAUGGUGCGACGCCGCGUGGGGGAAUGAAGGUCUUCGGAUUGUAAACCCCUGUCAUGUGGGAGCAAAUUAAAAAGAUAGUACCACAAGAGGAAGAGACGGCUAACUCUGUGCCAGCAGCCGCGGUAAUACAGAGGUCUCAAGCGUUGUUCGGAAUCACUGGGCGUAAGGCGUGCGUAGGCUGUUUCGUAAGUCGUGUGUGAAAGGCGCGGGCUCAACCCGCGGACGGCACAUGAUACUGCGAGACUAGAGUAAUGGAGGGGGAACCGGAAUGUUCGGUGUAGCAGUGAAAUGCGUAGAUAUCGAGAGGAACACUCGUGGCGAAGGCGGGUUCCUGGACAUUAACUGACGCUGAGGCACGAAGGCCAGGGGAGCGAAAGGGAUUAGAUACCCCUGUAGUC